UCUUCCAGUUGACAAGGAAUUUCACUGAUCAAGAACGUACAGUUUGCAUAUAUCCAUUCAAGAUGAAACUUGUAGCUUGCGCUAUUUUAUUAUGUUUUAGCCUAAUGGUCUUCCACACAGAAGCCUUCACAGCAGGUAUAGGAAAUUUUGGUAAAAGAGAAAUCCUUGAGAACAAUCUUCGUCGUGUCUGCCGAUAUGUAAGAGACACACGAGGCAUGGACCGAGGCAGAAUGUCAAAACAACAAUACCAAGACGUACGAGAGAUUUGCUUUAAAUAAGGCUGCAACAUGCUUAUAAGAAUAUUGUAAAUUUAGAUAUAUUCACGGAAAAAGGAUACCAUGAACUGUACUGGAACCGAAAAUUUAUAUUUGAUAGAACUAUAUCAUGUUAAGACAUUGUAAUUAAAAAAAAUGUCAAUAAAAAAAGUCUUAUUGUCUAUUCAA